CCCACAAUCUGACAGACGCCUACUGCCUUCAAAAAAGAGUUCAGGGUUCUACUUUACCUUUUAGCCAGGUAUUUUUUUCAUAAAUUUUAUAUCUUCAUAGUUUUUUAAUUAUGCAAUUUUUCUAUAGCAUGAAUAUUGUACCUUUAUAAAUUAUUAGCAACUGUAUGUUGUGUUUCUAUUGCAUGUGAGUUGAUUUUUGUUUUUUGUUGAUGUUUUUUAUUUUUUAUUUUUAUUCAUUCAUAUAGUACUGUUCGGUGUCUAGUAAUAUUAUUAUGGGAGACUCUCAACCACGAGUAUUCCAAAAAAAGGGCAGUGUAUGAAGCAUGGACACAGGAACAAAGUGAUGCCUUGUUACGAAUUCUGGCUGAAUCUGCAAUUAGGGGAUGGCGCGAUAAUAGUGGUAUAUUUAGCAAAGCAACAGUAGAGGAAAGGAU
rnacentral:lncRNA from 1 species